CAAACGCUUAGAGAAAUCCUUCAAUCCGCGGCAGAUCUUUAGACCUUGAAAAGAUGGCAAAGAUUGAAGAGUAUCAGGAACCCACAAAGCAGAAGCAGACAAAGAAUGUGAAGAGAAAUCAUGGAUCAACAAAGUUCUUCGUCUUUGUAGAUUACCUUUUCUUGAUAGUCUUCUUUGGUUUCCUCUGUUUUUUCCUCCUCAAAUUGAUUGGAUUUUGAUUUGUUGAGAUAUACGGCAAGUCCAAGUGGCAUAGAGAACCAUUAAACAUUGCAGAUUUGGUGAUUCCAGAAUGUGUUCUUCACCAUGGCUGGUUAAAUAUCAUUCUAUGUCGUUUUUAUAUUUGAAGAACUCAUUAAAUUCUUUGAUAAGCGAUCAUAGUUUUUUGUUUUGAUUAGUCAUCUUGUACAAGCUCAGUUGUUGACUUUGUAUGAUUGAGUAUUGAUUCACUUAGUAUGAUGUGGGAAGUUAAGUUCUACUUUGAUUUUGCCUUGAGAAAAAUGUAAUAGCUCUUUUGACAUAUCUAUGGAGCAGUAAAAAACAGUGUACGCGAUAAUCCUAUCUAGAUAAUUGAGGAUCUUUGUAA